rnacentral:rRNA from 1 species
AUGACGUCGCCUCUGACGGAGUUCAAGGACCACCUCCUGGCCGAGAUCUUCCUCCGCCUGCCCGACCCGGAAGACCUCGUCCGCGCCUCGGCAGCCUGCGUCUCCUUCUACCGACUCACCACCCACGACUCCUUCCUCCGCAGAUUCCGCCGCCUCCACGCACCAUCAGUACUCGGAUUCCUCCAGGCAGGCGGCAUGUUCCGUCCCACCAUGCCGCCUCACCCCUCCGCGCCCGCCGCCCGCGCGCUCGCCCGCGCCGCCGACUUCUACUUCUCCUUCAUCCCCUCCCGUUGCCACUGGACCGUGCAGGACAUCCGCGACGGCCGUGUCCUCCUC